UACAGAGGUCUCAAGCGUUGUUCGGAUUCAUUGGGCGUAAAGGGUGCGUAGGUGGCGUGGUAAGUCGGGUGUGAAAUUUCGGAGCUUAACUCCGAAACUGCAUUCGAUACUGCUGUGCUUGAGGACUGGAGAGGAGACUGGAAUUUACGAUGUAGCAGUGAAAUGCGUAGAGAUCGUAAGGAAGACCAGUGGCGAAGGCGGGUCUCUGGACAGUUCCUGACACUGAGGCACGAAGGCCAGGGGAGCAAACGGG
rnacentral:rRNA from 1 species